AUGAUGCUCAACUCAACUUAUCCAUGCGAGCAAGCCAUGGUUGAGAGUGUUCUGAUUUAUGAAAAAAGGCGAUGCAACUGUUCUAAAGGAUAUGAGGGUAACCCUUACAUUGCUAAUGGGUGCCCAGAUAUCGAUGAGUGCUUACGGCCAGAUAUUUAUCCCUGCCAUGGAACAUGCAUCAAUAUGCCAGGAACAUACAGAUGCUCAGCAAAGAAAAGAAUCAUCAGCUUAGCAGGUCUAAUUACCAUAAUAGCAAUCGUUGCUGGUUUUGGACUACUAUUUUCACUCCUAGGUGUUGCCCAAGUCACAAAAAAACUCAAGAAACGAAGAGCCAAGAAGAUCAGACAAAAAUUCUUUAAGAAAAACCAUGGACUGCUUCUACAACAGUUAAUCUCUUCGAACAAAGAUAUAGCCGAAAAGAUGAAGAUUUUCAGCUUAGAAGAUCUAGAACAAGCAACCAACAAAUUUGAUCAUAAUCGGAUCCUUGGUGGCGGUGGGCAUGGCACGGUGUAUAAAGCCAUCUUAUCUGAUCAACGUGUCGUGGCCAUCAAGAAGGCCAAAAUUGUUGUGCAGAGGGAAAUCGACCAGUUCAUAAAUGAGGUUGCCAUACUUUCACAGAUAAACCACAGGAAUGUGGUGAAACUUUUUGGUUGCUGUCUCGAGACAAAAGUUCCUCUACUAGUUUACGAGUUCAUAUUGAAUGGAACUCUCUCUUGUCAUCUCCAUGGCAAAAGUGAGAAUCAUUUGUCAUGGAAAACUCGAUUGAGGAUUGCUUUGGAAACUGCAAGGGCUAUUGCAUCUCUACACUCUGCAGCUUCCAUAUCAGUAUACCAUAGAGAUAUCAAAUGUGCCAAUAUUCUACUUACUGAUACUUUAAUAGCAAAAGUAUCAGAUUUUGGUGCUUCGAGGUCAAUUGCAAUAGACGAGACAGGAAUACUUACAGUUGUCCAAGGAACCUAUGGUUACCUUGAUCCUGAAUACUACUACACGAGUCGAUUGACGGAGAAGAGUGAUGUUUACAGUUUUGGUGUCAUCCUAGCAGAGCUAUUGACAAGUGUCACGCCAGUUUUUUCUUCUCAUUCAUCAGAAGGAACAAGCCUAGCAUCGCACUUUGUAUCACUAAUGAGCGGCAAUCGCUUGUCAGUUAUUCUAGAUACACAAAUUAUUCAUGAAGGAGGAGUUGAAGAUGCUGAGGUGGUUGCAAGACUUGCACAAGCAUGCUUAAGCUUAAAAGGGGAAGAAAGACCUACAAUGAGGCAAGUGGAGACAACACUUGAAGAUGUGCAUAACUCAAAGGUCAAGCUCAGUUCUCAGAUAACAAGAGUGAAUCAGAGUGCUAUGAAAGAUCAGCCAUGGAUGGGGAACAAAGGCGGUGAAGGAACUAGGUUAUACAGCUUGGAAAAGGAGAUUAUCCAAUCAUCCGAAAUUCCUAGAUGA
rnacentral:rRNA from 1 species